GUUUCUUCCAGAUCCCUUAAUGACGUGUUCGUUCGGAGUUCGGUAGUCCUGAUCCCUUAAUGACGUGUUCGUUCGGAGUUCGGUAGUCCUGGAAUGAGAGCAGUUUAUUCACUUGAAGCUUUAAGGCUGGGUACAAACUUGCCAAUAUGCCAUUCGCACAGCCACCAUAGCGUAUCGGCUGGAACAUUGGCUCAUGGAUACAAACAAAAUGUUUGUGAAUGAUGUUGUCCACAGAAAUAUCACGUCACUCUUCCAAUGGUGAUAUAUCUUGCGGAUAUAUUGGUACAUCUGCCUGUGCCAGCGGCAGGAACCACCGUCACUAGCGGUUCCUGUGGCCAGACAUGUUGGGCGGUGGAUUGGGAAGUGUAUAUUCAGAAGAUCGUUUGUGCAUUAACCUUACCCAUCAUUAGAUUGAAUGGUCGGAUGGCUGAUCCAUCGGCCAAGUAAGUAUCCAGCCAAGACAGCAUGGGCCAGUAUUUUUAAAAGUGCUGUCAUCUGAAGAUGGACGUACGAUUGUCAUUCUCUGACUA